GACGAACGCUGGCGGCGUGCCUAAUACAUGCAAGUCGAGCGAGUCUGCCUUGAAGAUCGGAGUGCUUGCACUCUGUGAAACAAGAUACAGGCUAGCGGCGGACGGGUGAGUAACACGUGGGUAACCUGCCCAAGAGAUCGGGAUAACACCUGGAAACAGAUGCUAAUACCGGAUAACAACAGAUGAUGCCUAUCAACUGUUUAAAAGAUGGUUCUGCUAUCACCCUUGGAUGGACCUGCGGUGCAUUAGCUAGUUGGUAGGGUAACGGCCUACCAAGGCGAUGAUGCAUAGCCGAGUUGAGAGACUGAUCGGCCACAUUGGGACUGAGACACGGCCCAAACUCCUACGGGAGGCAGCAGUAGGGAAUCUUCCACAAUGGACGCAAGUCUGAUGGAGCAACGCCGCGUGAGUGAAGAAGGGUUUCGGCUCGUAAAGCUCUGUUGUUGGUGAAGAAGGACAGGGGUAGUAACUGACCUUUGUUUGACGGUAAUCAAUUAGAAAGUCACGGCUAACUACGUG
rnacentral:rRNA from 1 species